rnacentral:rRNA from 1 species
GAUGAACGCUGGCGGCGUGCCUAAUACAUGCAAGUCGAGCGAACAGAUGAGGAGCUUGCUCCUCUGACGUUAGCGGCGGACGGGUGAGUAACACGUGGAUAACCUACCUAUAAGACUGGGAUAACUUCGGGAAACCGGAGCUAAUACCGGAUAAUAUAUUGAACCGCAUGGUUCAAUAGUGAAAGACGGUUUUGCUGUCACUUAUAGAUGGAUCCGCGCCGCAUUAGCUAGUUGGUAAGGUAACGGCUUACCAAGGCAACGAUGCGUAGCCGACCUGAGAGGGUGAUCGGCCACACUGGAACUGAGACACGGUCCAGACUCCUACGGGAGGCAGCGGUAGGGAAUCUUCCGCAAUGGGCGAAAGCCAGACGGAGCAACGCCGCGUGAGUGAUGAAGGUCUUCGGAUCGUAAAACUCUGUUAUUAGGGAAGAACAAAUGUGUAAGUAACUAUGCACGUCUUGACGGUACCUAAUCAGAAAGCCACGGCUAACUACGUG